GAAGAACCUUCAAACAGGAGAGAGAACAAUACAGUCCAGUAUCUUGAUUACAAAUGCAGACCUGAGAAUUAACUCCCCACUUCUCUCCUAGUACCCAAACCACAUCUCAUUAACAAGUAAUAUUGGAGUCAAAUCAAAAAAUUAGAAUACAUGAUUGUGCAGAAAAAUAAUGAGAGGGACAGCCUGUGAGACAUUGAAGAGUUUCCUGUAAUGCAUGCACCAUCUCAAAGAAAAGAGCAACAGAUCUACAUGAUGCACAGUGAAGUCUCUCUUGAAGAGGAUUGCAAAAAAGUGUUUCACUGAGGACAUCAGAUAAAACUCCAUGCUUACACCUACCUAUCAGAUAAAGAAUUGUUAACUUGAAGAUAAAAUCAUUUACAAAGAAUUGUUAACUUGAAGAUAAAAUCAUUUACAGUGUAUUAUUACAAAAAUUAUAAUAGCAACCAUAGGUUAUGGGUUCCCAUGGACUGAAGGCUAAAUAAAAUACUAAUAGUCACAAGAUCUUAAAGCACUUU